UGCUGGUCCGAGUGCAGUGGAGUUUACAACUAAUUAAUUACAACCAGUUACAGAUUUAUUUGUUCCUUCUCUACUCCCACUGCUUCACUUGACUAGCCAAAA
ensembl:misc_RNA Y_RNA Y RNA